rnacentral:rRNA from 1 species
AAUUAUUAUUAGAUUUUUAAAUAAUUAUUCACGAAAUAAAUUGAGCUAAAUUUUUGGUAUUUUUGGAAAUUAUAAUUAUAUGUUACAAAAUAUAUUAACUAAAUAGAUUUAGGGGUGAAAGGCCUAUCAAAUUUUAUGAUAUCUUGAAGUAUAUAAAAUAUAUCAAGUAUUUCUAAUUCAACUAUUGAAUGUUUAGGUUCAAUAGUAACAUUAUAUUUUUUAAAAAAUUGUUCAAUUUUUUUAAGUAAAAUUGAGUUAGAGCAUAAAAUAUACAUCAAAUUUUUAUUAUAUGAAUAUAAAUAUACUACGGUUAUUAAUAAAUAUAAUCAUAUAUAAUGUAAUUAUUAGUAAUAGUUUAUUAAACUAUAUAAAGGAAUUCGGCAAGAAAAUUUUUCACCUGUUUAUCAAAAACAUAGCUUAUUGAAUAUCAUAAUAAGUAACCCCUGCUCAAUGGAAAUCUAAAUAGCCGCAGUACCUUGACUGUGCAAAGGUAGCAUAAUCAAUUGGCUUAUAAUUGAAGUCUGGAAUGAAUGGGUAAUCUGGAAAAUAACUGUCUUUAUUUGUAGUAUUUUGAAUUUACUUAUAAAGUGAAAAUACUUUAAUAUAAAUAUAAGACGAGAAGACCCUAGAAAUUUUUUGUUAAUAACUUUUGUUGGGGCGACAGGGUAACAUAUAAACUUACUUACAUUUAUAUAAAUCUUAUAAGGUACGUAACUAAAUUACUCUAGGGAUAACAGCAUAAUAUAUAAAAGUUUAUGACCUCGAUGUUGGACUAGGUAAUUAAAUAUUUAAAAGAUAUCUUAAUUUGCUCUGUUCGAGCAGUACCACCUACAU